AUUGAACGCUGGCGGCAUGCCUAACACAUGCAAGUCGAACGGCAGCACAGUAUGUAGCAAUACAUAUGGGUGGCGAGUGGCGGACGGGUGCGUAAUAUGUAGGGAUCUGCCCUGAAGCGGGGGACAACCCGGGGAAACCCGGGCUAAUACCGCAUAAUACUCUACGGAGGAAAUCUGGCACGCAAGUGCUGGGGCUUUAGGAUGAACCUACAUCCGAUUAGCUAGUUGGGGAGGUAAUAGGGCACCAAGGCAAUGAUCGGUAGCUGGUCUGAGAGGAUGACCAGCCACACUGGGACUGAGACACGGCCCAGACUCCUACGGGAGGCAGCAGUGGGGAAUAUUGGACAAUGGGGGAAACCCUGAUCCAGCAAUGCCGCGUGGGUGAAGAAGGCCUUCGGGUUGUAAAGCCCUUUAGGUGGGGAAGAAGGUCAUAGGGUGAUAAGCCUUAUAGCUUGACGGUACCCGCAGAAUAAGCACCGGCUAACUCUGUGCCAGCAGCCGCCGUAA
rnacentral:rRNA from 1 species